CCCAUACAAAAGUUUAUUAUUAUUUUUUGCAAGAAAAGAUUUGCUCUGAGCUAAGAUCUGUUGUCAAUCUUCCUCUUUUUUUUUUUCGUCCCCAAAGCCCCAGUGCAUGAUUGUAUAUCCUAGUUGUAAGUCUUUGUAGUUCUUCUGUGUGAGACACCACCACAGCAUGCCAACUGACAGAUGGGUGGUGUGGUUCCAAGACCAGGUAAUGAGCCUGGGCUGCUGAAGCUGUGAGAACAACGAACUUUAACCACUAGGCCAUCAAGUCUGGCUCACAAAAGUUUAUUUUUACAUCAUUAACUUUAUUAAUAUUUUUCUUUAUUGCUUCUGGAUUUUGAUUCAUGGAUAAGCAGUAUUCUCAAGUUAUGGGGGAAUUCACCCAUGUUUCCUCUAGUACUUGUAUAGCUUUAUAUUUUACAUUUAAAUCUUUGAUCCACUUGGAAUGCAUCCUAGUGUAGGGUGUGAGGAAUAACUUCCAUCUUACCUUUUGCCAUGUGCUUCCACAGUUACACUAAGUAGUCUAGGUAAAUAGACUACCUUUUCCUGUUUUGAGGUGCCUCUUUUAUCAUACACUAAAUUUCCACAUGCAGUUGAAUCUAUUUCUAGAUCCUCUUUUCUGUUGGAUUCGUCUGUCUAUUCAUGUGCCAAUACUACAAUUUUUCAAAGAUAAAGGCUUUGUAAUAUGUUUUACUGUGCAGUAGAGCUAGCCCUCCCUCAUUGCCAUUUCCCAGGGUGUGCCUGACUCUUGCUUGUUUAUUAUUUAGCCCUUAUAAAUUAUGGAGGGUUGGAAGAGGAGCUAGUAAUAAUAGUAAUAUCAGUAGUAAUAAAGAGCUUACUGACUGCCAGCCCAGUAAAGCACGAGUGUGUAUUAAGUCAGCACUCCUCUCAGCAACCCUAUAAGAUGGACACUAUAUUAACUUCCCCACGGAACAGAUAGGAAAACUGAGGCACAGGGGGGUUAAGUAACUGGCCCAAAUUGGCACAGCUGGUAAGUGGAGGAGCCCAGAUUUGAACCGAGACCAUCUUGCUCCAGAGCUUGGGUUUUUCCCACUAUCUGCCAGUUUUAGACCAGACUGACUUGGAAAUUCUGGAUUCCCUCAACUCCUAGUUCUCAGCCAUGUCUCCUCUUCUACUGGACCCUCAAUUUCCCCAGCGCUGCCAGGAGGAGGCCUCAAGUGGAGCCCUCAAAGUUGGGGUGUACAGGCUGAGCAUUGGUGCUGCUGGCAAGAACCACUCACCUCACUCAGAUGAGGUGAGAUUGCAGGCAGAAGCAGCCCAGAGCACCGCCACCCCCGGGACGGGAGGGAACACUGCUGACCACUUCUCUGACCCGGCUGGGCUUUCCAGGUUUGGGUGCGUUCCCAGCUCUAGGCAUAAAACAUCAUCCUGUGUGACACUCCCCGGCUGGGUAGCCCCUCACACAGCUCCCGGGAAUGCCACUCCCAUGCAGGGCACUGCUCAUGCGGCCUUUUUCUUCCUGUUUUGUGGGGUUUUAGUUUCUCAAACCUGCUUUUCUUUCUCUUGGUGUUAUGAAUGGAAUUCCUGCCUUUGGUUCUUCCCAAUGCAGGUGGAAAAACCCUAGUGAGGGGCCCGCCUGGUGGCGCAGCAGUUAAGUGCGCACGUUCUGCUUCUCAGAGGCCUGGGGGUUCUCCAGUUCGGAUCCCGGGUGCGGACAUGGCGCCGCUUGGCAUGCCAUGCUGUGGUCUACUUGGUUGUCCUUGGUAGCGAGUGACAGAAACUGACUGUGACCCAUUUGAGCAGAACAGCUGGAAGCGGUUCAGGCCAGGAUGAGCUGGAGAAGGAGGCAUGGAAAGGGACUGGAAUCAAGGGAAGUGGUGGCAGAGACCUCCUAGCCAGAUGCCUUCCUUGGCCUUGCUGUCGCAGACAUGCGUCCAAACUCUGGAUCUGGUAUUUCUGGAACUUUCUGUAGUAGGCAGAAUGAUGCUCUCCUCAAAGAUAUCCUGGGGCUGGCCUGGUGUUAUAGUGGUUAAGUUUGUGCACUCCACUUUGGCGGCCUGGGAUUUGCACGUUCAGAUUCUGGGUGCAGACUUAGCAUCACUCAUCAAGCCAUGCUGUCGCAGCAUCCCACAUAAAAUAGAGGAAGAUUUGCACAGAUGUUAGCUCAGUGACAAUCUUCCACACACAAAAAAAGAAAAAAGAUAUCCAUGUCCUAACCCCUGGAACUUGUGAAAAUGUUACCUUAUGUGGCAAAAGGGACUUGGCAGAUGUGAUCAAACUGAGGAUCUUAAGAUGGGGAGAUUAUCCUGGUGAGCCCAGUAUAGUCACAGGGCACCUUAUUAGUGAAAGGAGGCAGGAGAAUGAGAGGGAAAGGCCAAUGGGACAAUGUAACCACCCCCUAGCUCUUUAGGUUAGGGGAAAGUUGAUAAAGUGAGUGGGGGUUGGUAUAAACCAUCCCACAACAGACCACCUGCUAUGGACUGAAUGCUUGUGUCCCCCCAAAAUUCAUAUGUGAAAACCCUACCCCCCAGUAUGGCGAUAGUAUUAGGACAUUAAGGCUCUGGGAGUUAAUCAGAAUUAGAUGAGGUCAGCGGCUGGCCCAGUGGCAUACUGGUUAAGUUUGCUCAUUUUGCUUUGGUGGCUCAGGGUUCAUGGGUUCAGAUCCCGAGUGUGACCUAACACACCGCUCAUCAAGCCAUGCUGUGGUGGUGUCCCACAUAUGAAACAGAGGAAGACUGCCACAGAUGUUAGGGCUAAUCUUCCUCACCAAAAGAAAAAAAAAAAAAAAGAAUUGGAUGAGGUCAUGAGGGUGGAGCCCUCAUGAAUGGAAUUAGUUCCCUUAUAAGAGUCACUGGAGAGCUUGCUUUUCUCCCUCCUUCCACCAGAUGAGGAAACAAACCUGCAGCCCAGAAGAGAGCUCUC
rnacentral:lncRNA from 1 species